rnacentral:rRNA from 1 species
UACGAAGGGGGCUAGCGUUGCUCGGAAUCACUGGGCGUAAAGGGCGCGUAGGCGGGGAGGCAAGUCGGGUGUGAAAUCCCUCGGCCCAACUGAGGAACUGCGCCCGAGACUGCUUCUCUUGAGUCCCGGAGAGGAAGAUGGAAUUCCCGGUGUAGCGGUGAAAUGUGUAGAGAUCGGGAGGAACACCGGUGGCGAAGGCGGUCUUCUGGACGGUGACUGACGCUGAGGCGCGAAAGCGUGGGGAGCAAACGGG